rnacentral:lncRNA from 10 species
CAGGGAAGUCGCGCAGGCGCUCUCAGGUGACGUUCUCCGGUCCACAAGUAGGAGGGGCCGAAGAAGUCACCCUGGCGCUUACCGAGGGCGGACUUUUAUGCCUGGGAGCUGGAAGGGGAGGAGGGGAGGAGUUUGGGGCGUGUGUGUAGGAGUGGCUUCUUGAAUUUCGGUGUCCCGGGCUUGACGUCACUUUGCGCAUGCUCAGUUGAUUUGGUUCUUUCCUGGCCGGGGAAAAUCUGUGACGAAGAACCGGGAAACAACAGGGACUGCUCCAUCUUGUUCACCUUCCUCCAUCUUGUCCCUUCUCCCUCACCCAAACAGCCAGUACCACUUUCAUUGGUGCUGAGAAAUGGAGCUGAACUGUACUUCCAUUUUUAUCUGCUGGAGAUGGAGGCCACGGUCCUGCUGUAAUUUUCCAAGCUGCAGUCGUCGGCCUCUCUAGGGCCCUUGAACUGAACACUUAUUCUUUUAAAAAUCAUCAACACGGGAUCUGUUGCCAAGAAGAGAAGCCAAUUCUUGUCUCCAUGCUCUAGGAAGUGUUUUCUUUGUAGUACUGUUGGCAUGGAGGUGAGAAGCCUGGAACUCGAUACUGAAAUCUCAGCAAGAGAGCUGCCAUUGGGUACAGUUUGUUUUGGAAUUAAAGCAAAUAUAUCCAGAAAUUGUACUCAGGAUAUUCAAAUAACAGUGACGGAGGCAGUGAAGGAACUUCAGUAUAGGAGAUGGCAUCUCAUUUCUUCACUGUUCUCACAAAGGUGACCAGCUGUGUGACAAAUCCUUGGAAUCUGGAGCUAACCCCUGAGGGGUUCAGUUUCUUUGAAAACCACAGAAGGGAAAAUGCAGUGGAGAACUUGUGAACAACUGGGUCAGGAAAAACUGCGGCUGCUUUUCAGGGCUCUGAUCUAGGAACCCCAGAUGCAAAGACAUGCUGGCGUCCUCUUGCUCAGCCAUUCACCGGGAAACAGGUGAGCCAGCUCACUUCAUCAACCUCCGUGUGCAAUGUAGCUCAACAAAUAACUGAUUGACAAUCCUUUAUAAAUAUUAACAUGGUGCAAAAGUAAUGGCAAAAACCACAAUUACUUUUGUAUUUGUGUACUAAUACUAUUGGCCGUGUUGUCACAUGCGUGCAUUUGGAUUUACUGA